AUUGAACGCUGGCGGCAGGCCUAACACAUGCAAGUCGAGCGGAUGAAGGGAGCUUGCUCCUGGAUUCAGCGGCGGACGGGUGAGUAAUGCCUAGGAAUCUGCCUGGUAGUGGGGGAUAACGUCCGGAAACGGGCGCUAAUACCGCAUACGUCCUGAGGGAGAAAGGGGGGGAUCUUCGGACCUCAGGCUCUCAGAUGAGCCUAGGUCGGAUUAGCUAGUUGGUGGGGUAAAGGCCUACCAAGGCGACGAUCCGUAACUGGUCUGAGAGGAUGAUCAGUCACACUGGAACUGAGACACGGUCCAGACUCCUACGGGAGGCAGCAGUGGGGAAUAUUGGACAAUGGGCGAAAGCCUGAUCCAGCCAUGCCGCGUGUGUGAAGAAGGUCUUCGGAUUGUAAAGCACUUUAAGUUGGGAGGAAGGGCAGUAAGUUAAUACCUUGCUGUUUUGACGGUACCAACAGAAUAAGCACCGGCUAACUUCGUG
rnacentral:rRNA from 1 species